UCAUACAAAUCACUCUCCACGGAGGAGUAUCAAAAAGCAAGGCCACGUGCAUUCUCUAGGACGACAUUCCAAGUCUCCGAGUCCACGUGCCUCGAACCUCGGGCCCACGUGCAUUCUCUCAGGCGACCUCUUCGCCAAAGUGAUACAUCAAGUCACCGAGCCCACGUGCCCUUUUAGAUGCCCGGGCCCACGUGCAUUCUCUUAGGUGCUAUCUCACCAAAGUGAUGCAUCAAUUCACCGAGCCCACGUGCCCUUUUUACGAUGCCCGGGCCCACGUGCAUUCUCUUAGGUGCUAUCUCACCAAAGUGAUGCAUCAAUUCACCGAGCCCACGUGCCCUUUUAGAUGCCUUGGCCCACGUGCAUUCUCUUAGGUGCUAUCUCACCAAAGUGAUGCAUCAAUUCACCGAGCCCACGUGUCCUUUUAGAUGCCAAACUCUGUCACCGAGCCACGUGCAUUCUCCAGAACGACAUACCGAGUCUCCGAGCCACGUGCAUUCUCUCAGGCGACCUUUUCGCCAAGGUGACAUAUUCAACCACUGAACUCACGUGCAUUCUCCAGGUGACAUUCCAAUUCACCGAGCCCACGUGCUUUCUUUCAAAUGAUUACCAAUCUACUUUCAAUACCGACAACCAAUGCCCAACGAUUUCUCAAUCAAAUAAUUAAAUCAACUCAACAAAGCAUUAUAAAUGCUAAAUAACACACUUGGCCAAUUCAAUCUCAAUCAAUUCCAAUCAAAUUAGGGUAAAUCCCUAAAAUAUCACAAUUUAUUCAAUUCCAUACAACGUAGAGCUCAAAUAAAUAAACG
rnacentral:lncRNA from 1 species